CCGGAAGUGUAAAGUGUCAGUGGAGCGGCUCUUGGCUCUUGUCGCCCUCGCGUUCGCUGCUUUCUUUAAACCGAGCAGGGACGUCCAGGUGGACGUUAAAUAACGCCGGGAAUGCGGACUGGGAGCGAGAAGGACGGACUUCAGUAGGACGUGUCCUCGCUCGGAGGAAAUGGCGCAGGUUGAGCAGAGGACUGCAGGUGGUUCAGAGGACACGAUGCAACGGGAGCAGAGAGAAGCCGCCAGAAAGGCCUCCAGCACUUCAGCUCAGGCCACCAGAGAAGACUCGAGUGACGCGUCAGAUGUUUCCGGAAUGAGCGAUGAAGAAGAACGCUACGUCCCCGACAGCGACGGCAGCUCCACGGGAAGCAGCGUUGGGCCGUGUCAGAGGUUCGGGCGUGGCAGGAAGACCGAGAAGGAGGAGAGCAGCGGGUCGGAGGAGAGCUCCUCGGCUGAAAAGUCCACGCGGAGACCUCGGUCCUACAAGAAGCAGUACUGUCUGUACUGCCAGAAGCCGUACGUGAAAAUCGCCCGGCACCUGCAGUUUGUUCACAAGAAAGAACCGGAGGUGGCCGAGGCGUUCGGCUGCAAGAAGAACUCGAACGAGCGCAAGCGGAUCCUGAACCUGCUGCGCAACCGCGGCAACUUCGUCCACAACACCCUGGUGGCCCAGAGCCGGACGGGGACGGUGGUGGCGCGGAAGCAGCCCCGCACGCAGCGCGCCAGCGACGACUUCCUGCACUGCAUGCACUGCAAGGGCCUGUUCCUGCGCACCUGCCUGUGGAAGCACGUGCGGAAGUGCCAGCACCGGCCGCGGGGCGGCCAGGCGGCGCCGGGGGGGAAGUGCCGGGUCCAGGCGCUGGCGGCGUUCUGCAACCCCGUCCCGUUCCACGUGGGCCGGGACAUCUGGAAGAUCGCGUGCGAGAUGAAGCACGACGAGAUCACGCGCGCCGUCAAGGCGGACCGGAGCAUCCUGCUCUUCGGCGAGCACCUGCAGCGCAAGAUGAGCAGCUACGCCGGGAAGAAGGACUACAUCCGGCAGAAGAUGCGGGAGCUGGGGCGCCUCCUGCUGGAGGUGAGGCGCAGCGCCGGCCCGGAGACGCUGGAGGCGCUGAUGGCGCCGCGCCACUUCCCGCAGCUGGUGGCGGCGGUCCGCGCCGUGGCCGGCUACCGCGAGGACACCAACUCCUUCAGGUCCCCCUCGCUGGCGCUCAACCUGGGCAGCAGCCUCAGCAAGAUCUGCGGCCUGGCGGAGGGCGGGGCGGGCGGGGCGGGCGGGGCCGAGGCGGCCAGGAGCUUCCGCCGCCUCUACUGCAGCCGCUGGAGCCAGAGCGUCUCCGCCGCCGCCCUCGCCACGCUGUCCCAGACCAGGUGGACCAAGCCGCUGCCGCUGCCGUUCGUGGACGACGUCAAGCUGCUGCACGCGUACCUGGACAUGCAGCACGGCAUGCACAAGAGCGCGCUGGAGGCGGAGCCUAGCGCCGACAACUUCGCCAACCUCUGCAAGACCACGUUGACGCAGAUCAUCCUGUUCAAUCGCAGGGGGACCGGAGAGCUGUCCAGGAUGCCGCUGGCUUCGUUCGUCUCCCGCGACGUCUCCCAAGCGCCGUCCCCAACCAAGCUGGCGGCCGUCUGCAAACACUUCCGAAGAAUUGAGCUCCGCGGCAAAGGGAGGAGAAGGUUCCAGGUGCUCCUCACCGCUCACAUGGAGAGCGCCCUGAACCUGCUGGUGGAGAAGAGGGGGGCUUGCCGGAUCGCCGAGCAGAACCAGCACCUGUUCGCCCGCCCGGGGGCCCUGACCCCGUACCGCGGGAUGGAGUGCCUGAGGCAGUACGCCAAAGAGUGCGGAGCCAAGCACCCCGACUCCCUGUCCUGCCCCAAGCUCCGCAAGCAAAUCGCCACGCUCUCCACCGUGCUCAACCUGGAGGAGAAGGAGCUGGACCAGCUGGCCACCUUUCUGGGUCCGAAUAUCCAAGUGCACAGACAGUUCUACCGGCUUCCCGAAGGAACCGUGCAGCUGGCCAAGAUAAGUAACAUGUUGCUGGCCAUGGAGGAGAAGACACUACCGAGAUAUCAAGGAUGCAGCUUGGAUCAGAUUGAAAGCCAAGGUAAUUUGAGCUCUCUCUCUCUCUCUCUCUCUCUAUAUAUAUAUAUAUAUAUAUAUAUAUAUAAAUGCUGUAAAUGUACAUGUAAAUAUAUAUAUAUAUGAGAGAGAGAUUCGAACCCACAACCUUCUGAUUACCCGCU
rnacentral:lncRNA from 1 species